UGCAGCAACGCCGCGUGAGGGACGACGGCCUUCGGGUUGUAAACCUCUUUUAGCAGGGAAGAAGCGAAAGUGACGGUACCUGCAGAAAAAGCACCGGCUAACUACGUGCCAGCAGCCGCGGUAAUACGUAGGGUGCAAGCGUUAUCCGGAAUUAUUGGGCGUAAAGAGCUCGUAGGCGGUUUGUCGCGUCUGCUGUGAAAACCCGAGGCUCAACCUCGGGCCUGCAGUGGGUACGGGCAGACUAGAGUGCGGUAGGGGAGAUUGGAAUUCCUGGUGUAGCGGUGGAAUGCGCAGAUAUCAGGAGGAACACCGAUGGCGAAGGCAGAUCUCUGGGCCGUAACUGACGCUGAGGAGCGAAAGGGUGGGGAGCAAACAGGCUUAGAUACCCUGGUAGUCCACCCCGUAAACGUUGGGAACUAGUUGUGGGGUCCAUUCCACGGAUUCCGUGACGCAGCUAACGCAUUAAGUUCCCCGCCUGGGGAGUACGGCCGCAAGGCUAAAACUCAAAGGAAUUGACGGGGACCCGCACAAGCGGCGGAGCAUGCGGAUUAAUUCGAUGCAACGCGAAGAACCUUACCAAGGCUUGACAUAUACGAGAACGCUGCAGAAAUGUAGAACUCUUUGGAC
rnacentral:rRNA from 1 species